ACUAUAAAUACUAGCAGUUCCACCCAUAACGGCUCUUCUCUUUUCAAGGCUCCUCGACCGCUCUUCUCUUCUCUUUUCUCAUAGAUACAACGGCUCUUGUUCUGCAUAAGUUUGAAUUCCAUUUUCAAUUUGGAUUUUAAAAGAAAUCAAGUUUUUUUCUGGGUGUGUAUGCUGCAGACAAUGGUGAAGAUCAUGGUGGCGAGGACAAAACAAGAAGGAGCUGGUUGUCAGGCAAAUGAUGAGCGACAGACAUUGCGGCCAAGAAACGACGGGAAUUUUCUAAUGUAUCGAAUCAUCAACUGUCUCUGCUGAUCUCUUAUUCUUCCAACCUUGUAGAAGAUAAAGAUUGAUGGGAUAAAACAACCCUUGGUUCAAUCCUUUUCCCUUCAUUGUGAAAGGUUAGAAAAACUUCAUUGGGUUGUUGCAGAAAAUCCAAUAUCCCAAGCUAAAGCGGAAUCUAUAGAGUGGUGCUAAUGCUUUCCAUCUUUUGAUGUCAUGUACUGUUUUGUGAUUAGUUGAUUUGUCUUGGUUCUAAUUCAAUCAUUUGUUUUUCUUCCUUAUGCUAAUAAUUGCUCUUUGGGUAUUUGAACAAUCUGACCGUUUGUAUUUAGGGACAUUGUGGUUCUUGUUGGGCUUGUUGUGGUGCUGCUGAGUCGUUGUCUGAUUGUUUCUGUAUUCAUAUUGGCUGGAAUAUCUAUGUCAGCAAAUGAUAUCGUAGCAUGCUGUGGUGGUCACUGAAGAGAUUGUCCGAGGAAGUUGUGGAAACAUAACACGAGCUCAAUGAAUGAGCUUAGAAAGCACAUAUCCGCACAGGGGAUUCUUGUUCAAAGAUCUCAUCAUUGUUGUAUGCAGAGAAUUGGAUGAAUGGAGCCGAACUGGUGGUGAUGUCCAAGAAGCUAAUGAAUGACAUGGAAGAUGAAAACAUUAUAGGACAUUAGAACGACAACAACUCGUCUUGCUUUAGACAAAAUGUCUCUAAAGUCUAAAAGAAGGAAGCAAUGGACUCGCGAAGAAGCAUACAAGUGUCCCAAAUCAAGGGGUGUGUCCGGAGGAUUUAAGGCGUUGGAUCGAACCCUAGCCUGAUAGUUGUAGUUUGGCUAAGCCAACUUAGUACACAGUGAGACCAUAAGAAGAAAUUAGACAGGCAAAUUGUAGUAGCUGAUUGAGAAGGAUGCUUUAGUAUUUUUCUCAAAAUUAUAUUAAUGGAAUCUAACUCCAUGUACCUGUAUGAGUUCGGUCACAUUGUCAGUUCCAAGUCCAGAUUAUCGUCAAGGGACAAUCAAAAAAUUACACUGAAUUUCUUGUUGUUUGUUGUUGAUACAAUCAUUAAGAUUACCUGAUAUGAAAUAGAUUGUUAAUAUAAUUUCA